GGUGGGGUUCCCGAGCGGCCGAAGGGAGCAGACUGUAAAUCUGCCGUCAUCGACUUCGAAGGUUCGAAUCCUUCCCCCACCACCA
rnacentral:tRNA from 2 species